UACAGAGGGUGCAAGCGUUAAUCGGAAUUACUGGGCGUAAAGGGCGCGUAGGUGGUUGCGUGAGUGAGUUGUGAAAGCCCCGGGCUUAACCUGGGAACUGCAUCUUAUACUGCGUAGCUGGAGUGCAAUAGAGGGUAGUGGAAUUUCCGGUGUAGCGGUGAAAUGCGUAGAUAUCGGAAGGAACAUCAGUGGCGAAGGCGGCUACCUGGAUUGACACUGACACUGAGGCGCGAGAGCGUGGGGAGCAAACAGG
rnacentral:rRNA from 1 species